CGUUCCCGGGCCUUGUACACACCGCCCGUCACACCACGAAAGUCGGCAACACCCGAAGUCAGUGGCCCAACCCGCAAGGGGGGAGCUGCCGAAGGUGGGGUUGGUGAUUGGGGUG
rnacentral:rRNA from 1 species